GUUGAACGCUGGCGGCGUGCUUAAUACAUGCAAGUCGAACGGAGAUUGCAGUGAUGUAAUCUUAGUGGCGAACGGGUGAGUAACGCGUUGGUGACCUGCCCCAAAUCGUGGGAUAACAGUUCGAAAGGACUGCUAAUACCGCAUGAAGUUACGGGAGUUAGAGAGCAGUAACGAAAGGAGCAAUUCGAUUUGGGAGGGGCCUGCGUCCCAUCAGCUAGUUGGUGAGGUAAAAGCUCACCAAGGCGACGACGGGUAGGGGGCCUGAGAGGGUGACCCCCCACACUGGCACUGAAACACGGGACAGACACCUACGGGUGGCAGCAGUAGGGAAUAUUGGUCAAUGGGCGAAAGCCUGAACCAGCAACGCCGCGUGCACGAUGAAGGCCUUCGGGUCGUAAAGUGCUUUUCGGGGAGACGAGGAAGGACGGUAUCCCCGCAAUAAGGAUCGGCUAACUACGUGCCAGCCGCCGCAGUAAAAC
rnacentral:rRNA from 1 species